UACAGAGGGUGCGAGCGUUGUCCGGAAUUACUGGGCGUAAAGGGCGCGUAGGCGGUCCGUCACGCGAGCCGUGAAAGCCCGGGGCUCAACCUCGGGUCGGCGGCGCGAACGGGGGGACUGGAGCACACCAGAGGCCGGUGGAAUUCCGGGUGUAGCGGUGGAAUGCGUAGAGAUCCGGAAGAACACCGGUGGCGAAGGCGGCCGGCUGGGGUGUGACUGACGCUGAGGCGCGACAGCGUGGGGAGCAAACAGG
rnacentral:rRNA from 1 species